rnacentral:rRNA from 1 species
CAAGUCGAGCGAGAAAGUGGCUUCGGCCAUCAGUAAAGCGGCGGACGGGUGAGUAACACGUAGGUAAUCUUCCCUUGAGCGGGGGACAACGAGCCGAAAGGCUCGCUAAUACCGCAUAAGUUCGGAGAGACUCCGGUCUUUCCGAGGAAAGCUAGGUAGCAAUAUCCGGCACUCGAGGAGGAGCCUGCGUCGCAUCAGCUAGUUGGUGGGGUAACGGCCUACCAAGGCGAAGACGCGUAGCUGGUCUGAGAGGAUGAUCAGCCACACUGAAACUGAGACACGGUUCAGACUCCUACGGGAGGCAGCAGUGGGGAAUAUUGGACAAUGGGCGCAAGCCUGAUCCAGCCACGCCGCGUGAGUGAUGAAGGCCUUCGGGUCGUAAAGCUCUGUGGGGAGGGACGAACCGCCGUUGGUUAAUACCCAGCGGCAUGACGGUACCUCCUUAGCAAGCACCGGCUAACUUCGUGCCAGCAGCCGCGGUAAUACGAAGGGUGCAAACGUUGCUCGGAAUUAUUGGGCGUAAAGCGCACGUAGGCGGCUUAGCAAGUUGGAUGUGAAAUCCCUCGGCUCAACCAAGGAAGUGCAUCCAAAACUGCUGAGCUUGAGUACUUAAGAGGAUCGCGGAAUUCCCGGUGUAGAGGUGAAAUUCGUAGAUAUCGGGAGGAACACCAGUGGCGAAGGCGGCGAUCUGGGAAGAUACUGACGCUGAGGUGCGAAAGCGUGGGAGCAAACAAGAUUAGAUACCCUGGUAGUCCACGCCGU